GACGAACGCUGGCGGCGUGCUUAACACAUGCAAGUCGAACGGAAAGGCCCUGCUUUUGUGGUGUGCUCGAGUGGCGAACGGGUGAGUAACACGUGAGUAACCUGCCCUUUACUUUGGGAUAACUUCAGGAAACUGGGGCUAAUACCGGAUAGGAGCUCCUGCUGCAUGGUGGGGGUUGGAAAGUUUCGGCGGUUGGGGAUGGACUCGCGGCUUAUCAGCUUGUUGGUGGGGUAGUGGCUUACCAAGGCUUUGACGGGUAGCCGGCCUGAGAGGGUGACCGGCCACAUUGGGACUGAGAGACGGCCCAGACUCCUACGGGAGGCAGCAGUGGGGAAUAUUGCACAAUGGGCGGAAGCCUGAUGCAGCAACGCCGCGUGCGGGAUGACGGCCUUCGGGUUGUAAACCGCUUUCGCCUGUGACGAAGCGUGAGUGACGGUAAUGGGUAAAGAAGCACCGGCUAACUACGUG
rnacentral:rRNA from 1 species